rnacentral:rRNA from 1 species
AGGGAAUAGAUACCCGGGUAGUCCACGCUGUAAACGAUGAGUGCUGGACGUUGGCGGGUUUACCUGCCGGUGUCGCAGCUAAACGCGUUAAGCACUCCGCCUGGGGAGUACGGCCGCAAGGUUAAAACUCAAAGGAAUUGACGGGGGCCCGCACAAGCGGUGGAGCAUGUGGUUUAAUUCGACGCAACGCGCAGAACCUUACCAGCCCUUGACAUGGGCGGACGGGGUCCAGAGAUGGACUCUUUCUCGCAAGAGACCGCUACACAGGUGCUGCAUGGCUGUCGUCAGCUCGUGUCGUGAGA